GACGAACGCUGGCGGCGUGCUUAACACAUGCAAGUCGAACGGAAAGGCCCUGCAUUUGUGGGGUGCUCGAGUGGCGAAAGGGUGAGUAACACGUGAGUAGCCUGCCCUUGACUUUGGGAUAACUUCAGGGAACUGGGGCUAAUACCGGAUAGGAGCUCCUGCUGCAUGGUGGGGGUUGGAGAGUUUCGGCGGUUCGGGAUGGACUCGCGGCUUAUCAGCUUGUUGGUGGGGUAGUGGCUUACCAAGGCGUUGACGGGUAGCCGGCCUGAGAGGGUGACCGGCCACAUUGGGACUGAGAUACGGCCAAGACGCCUACGGGAGGCAGCAGUGGGAAAUAUUGCACGAUGGGCGGAAGCCGGAUGCAGCAACGCCGCGUGCGGGAUGACGGCCUUCGGGUUGUAAACCGCUUUCGCCUGUAACGAAGCGUGAGUGACGGUAAUGGGUAAAGAAGCACCGGCUAACUACGUG
rnacentral:rRNA from 1 species